GCUCAGUAACACGUGGAUAACCUACCCUUAGGACUGGGAUAACCUUGGGAAACUGAGGAUAAUACUGGGUAGGCAAUUAUUCCUGGAAUGGUUUUUUGUUUAAAUGUUUUUUCGCCUAAGGAUGGGUCUGCGGCCGAUUAGGUAGUUGGUUAGGUAACGGCUUACCAAGCCAUUGAUCGGUACGGGUUGUGAGAGCAAGAGCCCGGAGAUGGAACCUGAGACAAGGUUCCAGGCCCUACGGGGUGCAGCAGGCGCGAAACCUCCGCAAUGUGAGAAAUCGCGACGGGGGGAUCCCAAGUGCCAUUCUUAACGGGAUGGCUUUUCAUUAGUGUAAAGAGCUUUUGGAAUAAGGGCUGGGCAAGACCGGUGCCAGCCACCGCGGUAACACCGGCAGCUCUAGUGGUAGCAGUUUUUAUUGGGCCUAAAGCGUCCGUAGCCGGUUUAAUAAGUCUCUGGUGAAAUCCUGUAGCUUAACUGUGGGAAUUGCUGGAGAUACUAUUAGACUUGAGACCGGGAGAGGUUAGAGGUACUCCCAGGGUAGAGGUGAAAUUCUGUAAUCCUGGGAGGACCGCCUGUUGCGAAGGCGUCUAACUGGAACGGUUCUGACGGUGAGGGACGAAAGUUAGGGGCGCGAACCGGAUUAGAUACCCGGGUAGUCCUAACUGUAAACGAUGCGGACUUGGUGUUGGGGUGGCUUUGAGCUGCUCCAGUGCCGAAGGAAAGCUGUUAAGUCCGCCGCCUGGGAAGUACGGUCGCAGACUGAAACUUAA
rnacentral:rRNA from 1 species